rnacentral:rRNA from 1 species
GACGAACGCUGGCGGCGUGCUUAACACAUGCAAGUCGAACGGAAAGGCCCUGCUUUUGUGGGGUGCUCGAGUGGCGAACGGGUGAGUAACACGUGAGUAACCUGCCCUUGACUUUGGGAUAACUUCAGGAAACUGGGGCUAAUACCGGAUAGGAGCUCCUGCUGCAUGGUGGGGUUGGAAAGUUUCGGCGGUUGGGGAUGGACUCGCGGCUUACCAGCUUGUUGGUGGGGUAGUGGCUUACCAAGGCUUUGACGGGUAGCCGGCCUGAGAGGGUGACCGGCCACAUUGGGACUGAGAUACGGCCCAGACUCCUACGGGAGGCAGCAGUGGGGAAUAUUGCACAAUGGGUGGAAGCCUGAUGCAGCAACGCCGCGUGCGGGAUGACGGCCUUCGGGUUGUAAACCGCUUUCGCCUGUGACGAAGCGUGAGUGACGGUAAUGGGUAAAGAAGCACCGGCUAACUACGUG